rnacentral:tRNA from 1 species
GUCGGGAUAACUCAGCUGGUAGAGCCGAGGACUGAAAAUCCUCAUGUCACCAGUUGAAAUCUGUUCCUAGCA